GCUUUAAUAGUUUAAUAAAAACACUGGUCUUGUAAGUCAGAGAAGAAUUCUUUUUUCUUAAAGCA
rnacentral:tRNA from 1 species